GCCGGACUAGCUCAGUGGUAGAGCACAUCGCUGAAAACGAUGGUGUCCUCAGUUCAAUUCUGAGGUCCGGCACAA
rnacentral:tRNA from 1 species